AGGACGAACGCUGGCGGCGUGCUUAACACAUGCAAGUCGAGCGGAAAGGCCCUUCGGGGUACUCGAGCGGCGAACGGGUGAGUAACACGUGAGCAACCUGCCCUUAGCUUCGGGAUAGCUCCGGGAAACCGGAAUUAAUACCGAAUAUGACUUUGGCUGACAUCAGCAGAAGUGGAAAGUUUUUCGGCUAGGGAUGGACUCGCGGCCUAUCAGCUAGUUGGUGAGGUAACGGCCCACCAAGGCGACGACGGGUAGCCGGCCUGAGAGGGCGACCGGCCACACUGGGACUGAGACACGGCCCAGACUCCUACGGGAGGCAGCAGUGGGGAAUAUUGCGCAAUGGGCGAAAGCCUGACGCAGCGACGCCGCGUGGGGGAUGAAUGCCUUCGGGUUCGUAAACCCCUUUCAGCAGGGACGAAGCGAAAGUGACGGUACCUGCAGAAGAAGCGCCGGCUAACUACGCGCCAGCAGCCGC
rnacentral:rRNA from 1 species